rnacentral:rRNA from 1 species
AGUGAACGCUGGCGGUAGGCCUAACACAUGCAAGUCGAACGGCAGCACAGUAAGAGCUUGCUCUUACGGGUGGCGAGUGGCGGACGGGUGAGGAAUACAUCGGAAUCUACUUUUUCGUGGGGGAUAACGUAGGGAAACUUACGCUAAUACCGCAUACGACCCACGGGUGAAAGCAGGGGAUCUUCGGACCUUGCGCGAUUGAAUGAGCCGAUGUCGGAUUAGCUAGUUGGCGGGGUAAAGGCCCACCAAGGCGACGAUCCGUAGCUGGUCUGAGAGGAUGAUCAGCCACACUGGAACUGAGACACGGUCCAGACUCCUACGGGAGGCAGCAGUGGGGAAUAUUGGACAAUGGGCGCAAGCCUGAUCCAGCCAUACCGCGUGGGUGAAGAAGGCCUUCGGGUUGAAAAGCCCUUUUGUUGGGAAAGAAAAGCAGCAGGUUAAUACCCCGCUGUUCUGACGGUACCCAAAGAAUAAGCACCGGCUAACUUCGUG